rnacentral:lncRNA from 1 species
GAUUUUACUUGCAGUAUGUAGGAUCAUUUGCUCCUCUACUUGCUAUAGUCACGCCUGAUCCAAUGUCAUGAGAAACCUGAGUACUGCCAAUUGCAAAGCACUCCUUAUCAGCUGGGGUCUGUUACCUGUGAACUGUUCUGCUGUAGGUAUGUUAUUGCUGCUUCCUCCUCGUACAGUCCUGAAGUACGACUUCCUCCAGCACUCAAUUCUACUAUCUAGGUCUUUGCCACAUUAGUAUAGGUGUUUCAUAAUUAUUUAAAGUUUUUAUUUUCACCCCAUUGCAGUGAGAAUAACUCUACUAUUCCUACUUAAGACAUGGGGAAUUAAGGUCACAGAAACAGGGAGGAGGGCUACACUCACAGAGAAACCCAGGUAUCUAAUUUCUUUUUGGUCCCUAAACAGAAUUUAACACGUUGGUAUCCCUUUAUGGACUGGGAUCUGGAAAGCUAUUUGCAGAACCUAAUUUUCAGGUGAAGAUGAGUAUUGGCUUACAAAGAAACGUAUGCAUUUUAUGUCCUGUAGGAGCUUUCCAACAUCCUUCAGGAAGUCUGCGACUGAGCAAGGCACCAGAUUCCCAUCUCCUGACACCGAGCCACACUACCUAACUGAUGCAUUUCAUACUUUCAGGAAUUGCUGUGUCAGAGUAUGGAGAUUAGCCUUGGAAAACAAGCUGGAGGCAGGAGAGGAUGCUGCACUGUUGGGCUUGCAGGCAACAAGCAAAACAAAAAGGAUGGAAAGAAUAAACAGGUUCAAGGGGAGCUUCUGCUGAUAGCGGUAGGAAAUCUGGUUGUAGAGUCAGGCCUGAACGUAUAGCUGAGAUUUUAGAGAAAAUGUUUGCCUAGAAGACGGUGUAAUCUCACAGCGGGAGGGGUGAGGAACCCGAGCGUCCAGCUGCAGGAAAGGAGCGGUGCGCUGGAAAGAGGAGCUGCCCUGGCAGACGUGUGUGAAGACAAACUAUGCUCUUUGUUCGGAGGAAAAUUUUGGACUGGAAUGCAAUUCACUGAACUAUUGAGGAAAGUAACACAGAAAGAGAGUGCUUCUGGGAGAUUUCCGUUAGAAAUUGCAAAAUCUUUUUCCCCCCUUUCUCUGCCCAGUGCAAUUAAACAGUAAUAGGAGCGCGUUGCACAGUUUAUGAAGCAAUAAUCCAGUUCCCAAAUGGAUAAACCGGGAGACUGAUGGCCAAGUCAUUUAUUCCAAUGAGGAAAAUAGAUUAUUGCUUAGGAAAGCAGCAGGAUGGCAUUGUUACAAUUAUUCUGCUGUCUGAGUUUAUCAGCUCAAAAAUCUAGAUAGGAAUUCUUUCUCUGGGCUUGGUUUCUGCUUUCCUCGCUGGCGUUGCCAGCCCCGUGCGAGGCGUCCUGCUGACUGCCACGGUUACCUGUGGAGCGAGGCACGGCUCUUGGCGAGCGCGAGUGACGGGAUGAGGGCUUGAGGCUGCAACAAAACAUGGUAGCUAGCGAAGUCAGUGCAAUUUUGGCCAGGAUACGUGGAGACAUAACAUUAUGAAGUAGGAAUGUAACAGCUCUCAUGUGACUGCGCUGGGGAUAUUGUGCUUAGUUCUAAGCACCUCGUUAACAGAAACGUAUUAACAAACUGGAAGGGAUCCAGAGAAGAGAAAGUCAGUUGGGUAUGUUGAUUUAUGAAUUAAGAUGGGCCUGAGUGGCCGAUGUCCAAUCUGAAUCCCUGCUGGAAUGCCUCCAGAUCUUGCAGAUGUUUGUGGGUUCAGGACUUUAUGAUCCCGAGUCCGCUGGAGUCAGUCGAAAGACUGCCAUUGGCUCCAGUGAUCGCUGGAUUUGGGUCUGCUUGAAGAAACCUUGGCUGAACAGUGAUUAAGGCUAAGGAUAUAUAUAUAACUUGGAAAAAGAGUAAAUAAAGGGGAAUGUGAUGUAAGCUUGGAACUAUUA